rnacentral:rRNA from 1 species
UACGUAGGGGGCGAGCGUUGUCCGGAAUUACUGGGCGUAAAGGGCGCGUAGGCGGCCUGGUAAGUCAGGGGUGAAAUCCCACGGCUCAACCGUGGAAUUGCCUUUGAAACUGCUGGGCUUGGAUCCUGGAGAGGGUGGCGGAAUUCCUGGUGUAGGAGUGAAAUCCGUAGAUAUCAGGAGGAACACCGGUGGCGAAGGCGGCCACCUGGACAGGUAUCGACGCUGAGGCGCGAAAGUGUGGGGAGCAAACAGG